CUAACAGUGGGGCCACUAAAAAUAUGACCUCACACACUUUGUCUCUCGAUCAGCACAGCUUACAACACCUCUGCAAAGACACGUGAUCAGACAGAAAUUGUCAUGACCCAGCAGACCAGGACUGUGGCGCCUGUGUGAGCCCUUCCCGUUAGCUCAAAAAGGGAAGGUAUGAGAACCGCUUGAUGCCAGUGCAGCAAGAACUGAAGCAAAACCCGUGGGCUAAGACACCACAGCACUCCAGCCAGACCUACUGCAAAGCAGUCACCAGCUCCUGGAUCUCAUACGGCACCUCCUGGUGCAGUUUUUGCAGGCGGCUCUUGUGGCACUGCAGGAACGGGACCAGCCACUCCCUGCGCAGCACAUCUUCACCCCUCUCCAUGUGCUGCUCAUGCACCCCAGCCCCUGCCAUCCUCCCCUGCGCACUGUGCACCACCGCUUCUGGCGACGAGACACCUGUUCCGACUGGUGGGACCGGAUCGUCAUGGAGCGGUGGGACAGCCAGCCAUGGCUCCACAACUCCCGUGUGCAGAAGGACACCCUCCAGGAGCUGUGAGAGUGGCUCGCUCCUGCCCUCAGGCGACAGGACACCCACAUGCGACCCGCCACCGCUCUCCAGAAGUGGGUCACCAUCACACUGUGGAAAUGCGCCAUGCCGGACAGCUACUGUUCUGUCAGGGACCAUGGUUGGCGUGGAGAGAGUGAUCAUUGGGGUCAUGCUCAUACAGGUGGUGAGGGCCAUCAACACCAUCCUACUGACCUAGAUCCAUCCUCCUGGGUGAUGUAGAUUCCACUAUCAGCAACUUUGCUGCCAUGGACGUCCCCAACCACAGGGGGUGAGGCAUUGAUGGCCCCCACAUCCCCAUCAAGGCCCCCAACCCUCAGGCAUCGGACUACAUCAACUGGAAGGGGUAAUUUUCUAUGGUCCUGCAGGCUGUCGUGAACCACCAGGGCCACGUCACAGACAUCAAUGUCGGGUGGUCAGGGAAGAUGGCACGACACCUGCAUCUUCUGCAACUCCAGCCUGUUCCAGAAGAUGCACACCGGCACAUUUUCCCCCAAUCACACCAUCAGGGUUGGGGAUGUGGAUAUGCCAAUGUGCAUAGUGGGGGAUGCUGCCUACCCCUUGCUCCUGUGGCUUAUGAAUCCCUACACUGGACACUAGGGCCCCACUAAGGAACAGUUCAACACCAAGCUCAGCAGGGCCUGCAUCAUGGUGGAGGACACCUUUGGGCAUCUCAAAGGGAGGUUCUGCUGCCUUCUCACUUGCCUAGACCUUGGUGAGCAGAACGUCCCACAGAUGGUGGCGGUGUGCUGUGUUCUGCACAAUAUUUGUGAGAACAAGGGGGAAACAUUCCUGCCUGGGUGGGGGGAGCAAAGGCCGAGUGGCUCACCAGGGCCUUUGAACAGCCAUGCACAGCUGCCCAUCCAGCAGGCCCAUUGGGGGGCUGUGCACAUCCAGGCAGCCCUGAAGGAGAGUUUCAGCCAGGACCAGCUAUGAGACAGUCCCCUGGUCUCCCCAUAAGCGGCCUCUGCAGUGCCCCCUGUGCCUUUCUUCCCCCUCCCUUCACCCCCUUCCUCCCUUCUCCGCCUCUGAUAAAAUAA